rnacentral:lncRNA from 1 species
CUUGGCUGCACCCAGAGCCUACAGCACCAACCGGGCUCGGAGGGAGGGGUCACAGCGUCGGGGCAUCCGCCUCGUCCAAAAAACACCCCGGGACACGCCCUGCACGUGCGGCCGUACACAAACACACCUGCCAACAGCCCACACACACACACACACACACACAACCUCACACUCAGAUCUACUGACACACAAACCAGCUGUAAACAAACAUCAAAAAGCGUUUCGGGCUCACAAAGCACAUAACACGCAGUACACACGACUUUCGAAUAUUUCGAACGGUACGUGGCGACAGAUCUCCAGAAUAAUAAUGACUUACUCUGCUUUAAAAGACAUGCAGUGGAAGGGAACGGAAAAGUCAGUGAACUGGUGAACCCGUUAUCUCCUCCACCAUCUCCCACCCAAUAGUCACACGCACGCACACACACACACACACACACACGCACGCACAAAUAUUUUGGGCCAAAUACUGACCUGCAUUGGCGCUGGCACACACACAUUCUCUUCAAGCAGUUAAGCCGCUCAGACAGGACCCGUUUGAACGCGUCUAUGUACAUUUGGCCCCGGCCGAGAACCGGACCCCAGCGGUCCCAGAACCCACAGCGAGGACGGAAGCGUGGACGUGGUCUUCGCACCGGACACACGCGCGCGGAGCCGCAUGUGCACCAGACGAGGACUUUCUUUCUCUUUCUUUUGUUCUGUCAGUUUCUCUCUUUUUUUUUUUCUUUCUUUCUUUCUUUCUUUCUUUCUUUCUUUCUUUCUUUCUUUCUUUCUUUCUUUCCUUUUUCUUUUAAGCGAGCGCCCGCUGCGUGGAUAAUUCGCGCGAAGUCCGUACGAGAUGCGCGCGCCGCGCGGUUUGUUUGGACACUGUGUCGCACGAGAGGGUCGCGCGCGACGUGUGACGAGAGAGAGAGAUGGAGAGAGGUGGAGAGAGAGACAGAGAGAGAGAGAGGAGAGAGAACACCGAGAGAGAGAUGGAAAGAGAGGUGGAGAGAGAGAGAGAGAAGGAGAGAGAACAGCGAGAGAGAGAUGGAAAGAGAGGUGGAGAGAGAGAGAGAGAGAGAGUAUAGAGAGAGGGGGAGAGAUAGAGAUAGAGAUGGAGAGAGGUGGAGAGAGAGAGAGUAUAGAGAGAGGGGGAGAGAUAGAGAUGGAGAGAGUGAGGGAGAGAGAGAGAGAGAGAGGGAGGGAGAGAGUGACAGUGACAUGCAUAAUCAAAAAAAAGAAAAAGCAAGCAAGAGAGACGCCGGACCGACGGUGAGAAGGAGAACUUUUAUUCCGUCCCGACACGUCGCACGCAUUAUUAUUAUAGAGUGUCCCUUGUCGUCGGAAGCCGGGCACGGCGGCGAUAUCGAUCCGGGCCGGGGGAAGGAAGGCGUGUCGGUGCUGAAGGGACCGCGAGUCGUCCGCACCGGGCCGCCCGGGACGCGAUUCAAGCUCAGUUCCGCGCCCGCGGCGCGCAGCCCGGCCACCGCGAGGAGCCGAGAAGCGGCGGCGGCGGCGGCGGCGGCGACAAGGAGCAACAAGGAGGAGGAGGAGAGGAGGA